rnacentral:rRNA from 1 species
ACGGGAGGCAGCAGUGGGGAAUAUUGCGCAAUGGGGGGAACCCUGACGCAGCAAUACCGCGUGAGUGAAGAAGGUUUUCGGAUCGUAAAACUCUUUUAUCAGGGAAGAAUGAUGACGGUACCUGAUGAAGAAGUCCCGGCUAACUACGUGCCAGCAGCCGCGGUAAUACGUAGGGGACAAGCGUUGUCCGGAAUGACUGGGCGUAAAGGGCACGUAGGCGGUUUGAUAAGUCUGAUGUGAAAGGUACCGGCUCAACCGGUGACAUGCAUUGGAAACUGUCAAACUUGAGUACUGGAGAGGCAAGCGGAAUUCCUAGUGUAGCGGUGAAAUGCGUAGAUAUUAGGAGGAACACCGGUGGCGAAGGCGGCCUGCUGGACUGUAACUGACACUGAGGCUCGAAAGCGUGGGGAGCAAACAGGAUUAGAUACCCUGGUA